GGUGUUUCUUAUGUUGUUUCUCAACAGUCACUUUGGAAAAAGACCAGCAGCAGACCAGAUACGACAAACUGUACAAGAACUACAGCGAGCUGCAGGGACAACUUUUAGCAGCCAACAUCAGUCAGUUACAGAGCAGUUACGAGACACUGAGGAAAAAUCACAGCCAGUUACAGGAUGAAGUAAAGCAGCUGAAGGACAAACUUGAUGUUUGACAGUGAAUGAGAUGAAAUCCAUCUUUUAACACUCAUUUGACAUGAAGAGAAGUGUUGUCCUGAAGGAUGGAAGAGAUUCGGAUUCAGCUGUUACUUUAAAUCCAAUGAGACGAAAACUUGGUAUGAGAGCAGAAGAGACUGUCAAAGGAAAGGAGCACAUCUGGUGAUCAUAAACAACGAAGAGGAACAGAAAUGUGUCACUGAGCUGAACAAGGAUGGAGACUCCUGGAUUGGUCUACAGUUCACACAACAAACAGGAUGGAAAUGGGUGGACGACUCACCGCUGACACUAAAGUUCUGGGCAUCAGGACACCCGCACAACAACUAUUAUUACACUGCAGCAUGCUGCGAUAAACAAGGAAAUUGGACAACGAGCAGAUAUAAUGAUCAGAAGAAGAACUGGAUCUGUGAGAAAGAGCUUUCCUGUUUAUCUUGAGGACAGAGGGGUGUGUAGUGUUGGGAUCAACUUUGUCAAAUCAGACCAACUCACAUUUUACAUUUCUUCAGUUGUUCAUUCUGUGUUGCAUCCUGAACAACCUGGAUUACAUAGAUAUUGUUCCUCUGCCCUACACAGUGAACAGUCUGGUUGGAAGUCAUCCACACAACUACAUGUGCACUUACCCUCUCUGCAGAGAGGGAUAUUACAACAGCCUGUUUUCAAAAA